GUAGGUGGCAAGCGUUGUCCGGAAUUAUUGGGCGUAAAGCGCGCGCAGGCGGUUCUUUAAGUCUGAUGUGAAAGCCCACGGCUCAACCGUGGAAGGUCAUUGGAAACUGGAGAACUUGAGUACAGAAGAGGAAAGCGGAAUUCCACGUGUAGCGGUGAAAUGCGUAGAGAUGUGGAGGAACACCAGUGGCGAAGGCGGCUUUCUGGUCUGUAACUGACGCUGAGGCGCGAAAGCGUGGGGAGCAAACAGGGAUUAGAUACCCUGGUAGUCCACGCCGUAAACGAUGGGUGCUAAGUGUUAGGGGGUUUCCCGCCCCUUAGUGCUGCAGCUAACGCAUUAAGCACUCCGCCUGGGGAGUACGGCCGCAAGGCUG
rnacentral:rRNA from 1 species